rnacentral:rRNA from 1 species
UACGUAGGGUGCAAGCGUUAAUCGGAAUUACUGGGCGUAAAGCGUGCGCAGGCGGUUAUGCAAGACAGAGGUGAAAUCCCCGGGCUCAACCUGGGAACUGCCUUUGUGACUGCAUAGCUAGAGUACGGUAGAGGGGGAUGGAAUUCCGCGUGUAGCAGUGAAAUGCGUAGAUAUGCGGGAGGAACACCGAUGGCGAAGGCAAUCCCCUGGACCUGUACUGACGCUACAUGCGACGAAAGGCGUGGGGAGCAAACGAGGAUUAGACU